GACGAACGCUGGCGGCGUGCCUAAUACAUGCAAGUAGGACGCACAGUUUAUACCGUAGCUUGCUACACCAUAGACUGUGAGUUGCGAACGGGUGAGUAACGCGUAGGUAACCUACCUAUUAGAGGGGAUAACUAUUGGAAACGAUAGCUAAUACCGCAUAACAGUAUGUAACACAUGUUAGAUGCUUGAAAGAUGCAAUUGCAUCGCUAGUAGAUGGACCUGCGUUGUAUUAGCUAGUAGGUAGGGUAAAGGCCUACCUAGGCAACGAUACAUAGCCGACCUGAGAGGGUGAUCGGCCACACUGGGACUGAGACACGGCCCAGACUCCUACGGGAGGCAGCAGUAGGGAAUCUUCGGCAAUGGGGGGAACCCUGACCGAGCAACGCCGCGUGAGUGAAGAAGGUUUUCGGAUCGUAAAGCUCUGUUGUUAAGGAAGAACGAGUGUGAGAAUGGAAAGUUCAUGCUGUGACGG
rnacentral:rRNA from 1 species